GGAUUAGAUACCCUGGUAGUCCAUGCCCUAAACGAUGAAUGCUAAUCGUUGGGAGGCUAGUACUUUCAGUGAUGCAGUUAACACAUUAAGCAUUCCGCCUGGGGAGUACGGUCGCAAGAUUAAAACUCAAAGGAAUAGACGGGGACCCGCACAAGUGGUGGAGCAUGUGGUUUAAUUCGAAGAUACGCGAAGAACCUUACCUGGGCUUGACAUCCUGCGAACUUUCUAGAGAUAGAUUGGUGCCUUCGGGAGCGCAGAGACAGGUGCUGCAUGGCUGUCGUCAGCUCGUGCCG
rnacentral:rRNA from 1 species